CGAUGGCACCGUGUAGCCGCCCUCGGUCUCCACCCGUGCGGGCAGCGCCGCAGCACCGCCGCCGCCUGCGAGGAGCUCCGGGGAGGGGGGGAGGGCGCGCCCCCUACCCCACCCCGGGCCCGGGGUCGGGGGCCUGCCCUGCCUCCCCCAGCCCCCACGGCUCCCAGUUCAACUCGUGGGAGGAUUUGGGGAGCUGAGACAGCGCUCCUUUCUCAUUUUCUCUUCCCUUCCUGGUGGCCCGCAGGGACUUGCGGACCAGCGGCAAUCCUGUGGUCUCUUUCCCUCCCCCAGCUCCUGGUCUGGUUCGGCAGCCUGGGAGGGGGAGGCUGGGACUGGCUGGCCUACCUACUUGCUGGGGCUGCUGGCCCCUGUGGACUGCUGCACUGGCUGCCUGGGCUGCACUGUUUGUAUGCGGAGGGGCGUGGCUGGCAACUACCUAGAGAGGACCCCAAGGGGGGGGUCAAGAGAAAAGGCCGCCUAAGGCCAGGCGCGGGCAGGGAUGCACAGAGGCUUCCUUCUCAGCGGUAGGCAUCACCCGCAGGGAUGUGAGAGGAAAAGGCGAUGUCCCCUGUGACAAGGGCCGGUCAACCCUCCAGCCUUGCACCUCUUGGUCAUCAAGAGAUGCAAGUAGCCUGGGAGAGCCAAGGGGGCUUCCUGGAGGAGGUGUGAGUCAAACUGCUCACUUACUUAGGAGGUUUGGAGCCCCGUUCUUCCGGGUCAGUGAGGAAGCCACACAAUAGGGAGCCCCAGAUGCCGUGAGGGCCCACUUCACGAUCCAGCAUACAAGAGUGCAUUUCAUGGGGGGUUCUGGACCCUGGAGAACCUUUGGAGGGGCUGCCAGCUGCAGCGGAGCCUUUCGUCAGCCUGAUGUUGGGGGCCCAUGGGGCUGGGGUGGGGGACCAGCCAGAGGCCACGAUCCCCACCACCUCUUCUUCUUUAGAGGAACAAAGACGUCUUCCACAUGGGGCUUGGGCUUGACAGGAAGUGACCUGUCUGUUGGGGGCUUGGGCCAC
rnacentral:lncRNA from 1 species